GGACUUGUAGCUCAGUUGGUUAGAGCGUUUCAUUCACAUUGAAAAGGUCAGAGGUUCAAGUCCUCUUAAGUCCA
rnacentral:tRNA from 1 species